GACGAACGCUGGCGGCGUGCUUAACACAUGCCAGUCGAACGGUGAAGCGCCUUCCUUUUUGGUGGGUGUGGAUGAGUGGCGAACGGGUGAGUAACACGUGAGUAACCUGCCCCCUUCUUCUGGAUAACCGAAUGAAAGUGUGGCUAAUACGGGAUAUUCUGGGUCUGUCGCAUGAUGGGUCUGGGAAAGAUAUUGUUUCGGUGGGGGAUGGGCUCGCGGCCUAUCAGCUUGUUGGUGGGGUGAUGGCCUACCAAGGCGGUGACGGGUAGCCGGCCUGAGAGGGUGGACGGUCACACUGGGAAUGAGACACGGCCAAGACUCCUACGGGAGGCAGCAGUGGGGAAUAGUGCACAAUGGGCGCAAGCCUGAUGCAGCGACGCCGCGUGAGGGAUGGAGGCCUUCGGGUUGUGAACCUCUUUCGCCAGUGAAGCAGGCCUGCCUCGUUUGUGGGUGGGUUGACGGUAGCUGGAGAAGAAGCGCCGGCUAACUACGUG
rnacentral:rRNA from 1 species